UUCCAAGUUGGAGAAGGCUGCUGGCUGUUGAGGCAUUCUCUGGCACAUCUCUGGCUGGCUGAUGUGAGCUUAGCACACAAGACUUGGCAGACAGUAUCUAACCAUGGUCACGUCCAUUUCUGGAACACUCAUGGAGGAUUUUACACCUAUGCUAGUGGCAUACGUUAUUUCUUUUGGUUUUCAAAACAAUCAUAAUUAGAUUUUAUCACCUGUAUUAAUAAGGAAACUGUCAAAGCGAGUGAUGUGCAGACUUUGGACUGGAACACGGGUCUUUCUGAUCCCUGUCUCUGUUCCCUCCCCAGCCUAUCCUUCCAAAUGUCCAGGAGACUCUUCCUCAGUCUUGAGUUUCCCGCUGAUGUUACCACUGUCUUUGUUUCUGGAGAGGAAAACAAGUCUAAACUUACUUUCCAGUUGGAAAUGGAAUGGAGAGUUAACGUUGGAAGCCGGGAGAGUCUGUCCUGUGAUGAAGCGGUCUCUGAGCCACUUCCAUGGGGACGUCACGUCACUGUCUGGGCCCCUUGCGCAGCCUGUGCACAGCAUUCCUAGGAGAGAAUUCAGCAGUGCAGCAUCCUCUCCGAGCUCUAUGAGUUGAUCGGCUUCCACCGCAAGUCCGCCUUCUUCAAGCGGGUGGCCCCCGUGCAGCGCGCGGCCCCCGGCAUUACGGAGCCUGGCGGGAAGGCCUGCUACCGACUCCUUCUGCAGACGCUUCCUGGCUACAGUCUGUCGCUGGAUCUGCAGGACUUCAGCAAAGGUGUUGGAACUAAAACAUUGCUUCAGUCCCAUUAACCAUGCCUGGUUUGGGCCCUGCUGUCCUGUCUCAUCAGGGUGAAUACUGAUUCGUUUAGAAUAGGGCUCAGCAGACUUUUUCUCUCAAGGGCUUGGGAGUAAAUAUUUCAGGGUCUGGAAACCUCCUGAUCUCUGGUGCAGCUGCUCAGCUCUGCUGUUCAGACGCCAGAGCAUCCGGACAUUCCACACACCCACAGAGCUUUAUUAACAGCGGUGUCUGGGGCUGGAUUCAGUGUAUGAACUGCAGUUUGUCCCCACAGCCUCCUCACUAUUGACGCCUGCACCAGAGCAUGCAUUUGCGACAAUGGGUGAACCUGCACUGACACGUCAUCAUCACCCAGAGCCCAGACUUAACACUAGGAUUUACACUUGGUGGUGUGCACUCUGUGGGUUUGGACAGAUGUGCAAUGACAUGUAUCCACCGUCACAGCAUCAUACAGAGUAGUCUGUCUUAAUGACCUUAAAAUGCUCCGUGCUGCACCUCAUUCAUUGCUCCUUCCCCUCUAGCCUCUGACAGCCACUGAUCUUUUAGUCUCUGUGGUUUUCCCUUUCCCAGAACACCAUACAGUUGGAAUCAGACAGUUGCGGAACCUUCCCAGAUUGGCUUCUUUCCCUUAGUAAUAUGCAUUUAAGGUUCCUCCAUGUCUUUCCAUGCCUUGAUAACUCAUUUCAUUUUAGCACCAAAUAAUAGUCCAUUUUCUGGCUGGACCACAGUUAAUCCAUUCACCUACUGAAGAACAGCUUAGUUGCUUCUGAGUUCUGGUGAUUAUGAAUAAAGCUGCUAUUAACAUCUGUAUGCAGUUUUGUGUGUGGACAUAUGUUUCCAUUUCGUCGAGUAAACACCAAGGAUCACAGUUGCCGGAUCAUGUGUUAGGAGUACGUUUAGUUUUGUAAAAAUUUGCCAGACCGUCUUCCAAAGUAUCUGGGCCAUUUUACAUUCCCACCAGCAAUGCAUGAGAAUUCCUUAUGCUCCACAUCCUCACCAGCAUUUGGUGCUGUCAGUGUUCUGAGUUUUGGCAGUUCUGACAGGUGUGCAGUGGUACCUCGCUGUUUCAGUCUGCAUCCCCUUGAUGACAGAUGCUGUGGAGCAUCUUUCCAUAGACUUCUUUGGCAUCUAGAUUUUUUCUUUGAUGAGAUCUGUGUCAGGAAUUUUGCUCAUUUUUUAAUCAGGUUGUUCAUCCUUCUUGUUGAGUUUAAAGAGAUUUUGGUAUAUUCUGGAUAUCAGCCCUUUAUCAAUGUGUCCCUGCCCUUCACCUGCAGCACCGGAGUUGUCCUUUGGGUCUCAGUGGAGUGUCAGCUCUUCAAAGAGGUUCCCUGUCUUCCCUCAGCCUAAAUACUGUCCUUGUAUUUUUCACUUUCAUUGACUCAUUUUGUUCUUUUUAAAUAGCAUUUCCCAUAAUUUGUAAGUAUAUUAAAAAAAAGGGCAAUGAUUGAACACCACCUCCCCCACCAGGCUGUGUGCCCUGUGAGAGCAGAGGCCCUGUCCCCACUCACCAUUUCCCAUGACAGCACAUGGCACAUGUCCAUGUAAAAGUGUGUAACGUGGGGCCAAACCUGAUGAGCAGCUAUGAUGACAUGUGUUGGCUACCAUUUAUUGAGUAGACUUUGUUUCUGAUGUAAAUUAUUAAAUCACAUGAAUUAAACUUGUUUGUUUUGAAAAAUAAAACAACAAAGCCCACCUCCA